rnacentral:rRNA from 1 species
UACGUAGGGGGGCAAGCGUUGUCCGGAUUUAUUGGGCGUAAAGAGCGUGUAGGCGGCUUUACAGGUCCGUUGUGAAAACUCGAGGCUCAACCUCGAGACGCCGGUGGAAACCGUAGAGCUAGAGUCCGGAAGAGGAGAGUGGAAUUCCUGGUGUAGCGGUGAAAUGCGCAGAUAUCAGGAAGAACACCCGUGGCGAAGGCGGCUCUCUGGGACGGUACUGACGCUGAGGUGCGAAAGCAUGGGGAGCGAACAGG